CAUUUUGAUAAAAUCUGGGAAUUAACAGUAAAAAGAACUUCUGAAGGAACGCUUAUGUUUUAAGCCAUCGUUAUGUUUUAAGCCUAGCGAAACCUUUAAUCCUUGGUUUGCCAACCUACGUACAACUUGGUAAACAGCCACAUGCUCAGGACGGAUCCUGCAGUGCAACUGAUAAUGAUGCUGAUUGUGUUCUCCCAGUUAAAACAAUUAAUGCAGAAUAUGCAAUAAUACACAAAAAAUUUGAUGAAUUUCUACUGGAUAUUGAUAAAUAUAAUAUCGCACUGCUUCGUAUGAAAAAAAGUGUAGCUUUUGAAGAUAAUAUAAGCCCUGUAUGUUUACCCCUAACCCCGCAAUUGAAACGAACAACGUUUUCUGAAUACUUAGUGACUAGUUGGGGUGGAUAUCCACUGGGACCAAAGAAUAAAGGUCCAACGUUUGACAAUUUGAAAAUGCAACAAUUACAUUCCACUGAUUCCAGCGAGUGUCACCCAUCGGAAAAUAGCAUUUUUUGUUUGGAAGAAGAUAAAGACUACAACGUUCUCAUUGGAGCACCAGCCGUUAGAGGUAUUGACUACAAUGGAUAUCGAAUUGUGCAAUUUUUUAUGGCUGUUAACAACUUUAAGGGACUCUAUUUGAACGUGUCUGCAUAUGUUGAUUGGAUUAUAGCAAACAUAGAGAUAUGAAAAUAAACGGUUGGUUGCCGCACAUUUAUUGUUGGAAAAUGACAUAUUCAAAAAUUAUUACCUUCAGUUAUAAAGAUCAUGUUGGUGAAGCUUUGUACAGACUUCAAAGGAUAAACAGAACUACGCAGAGAAGAAAUCCAAAAAACUAAA